rnacentral:rRNA from 1 species
UACGUAGGGGGCAAGCGUUGUCCGGAUUUACUGGGCGUAAAGAGCGUGUAGGCGGCCACGCAGGUCCGUUGUGAAAACUGGAGGCUCAACCUCCAGCUGUCGACGGAAACCGUGUGGCUAGAGUCCGGAAGAGGCGAGUGGAAUUCCUGGUGUAGCGGUGAAAUGCGCAGAUAUCAGGAGGAACACCAAUUGCGAAGGCAGCUCGCUGGGACGUUACUGACGCUGAGACGCGAAAGCGUGGGGAGCAAACAGG